rnacentral:snRNA from 1 species
UUUCAUUGGAUACAGUUUCAGU